GUGGUGCCCCGCUCCUCGUCCAUCAAAAUCCGGUGGGCGAGCCUCAAGAACCGGCUCAUGUCAAUGUGCCCUUCCUCCUACUCCAUCCCGUUCUACCCGGACAUCAGCCAGCCAGGUCCCUCGCAGUACUACCUCCUGAAGCUCUUGUCGCCAGACCGCAAAGGGUUGCUGCAUGGUAACUAUGGCCAUCUAUCUCUUCAUGCCUUAUCAAGUGUUUAAAAGCUUUUAACUAACGUCUGCUCAAUAGUACUGACUGUGCCGUGUCAUUU
rnacentral:lncRNA from 1 species